CUGCCGUGAUGACUUCUUAGGACACCUUUGGAUUCACCAUGAAAAGAACUAAACGAUUUCUGAGCAGC